ACAGCAGCCGCCGCGGUAAUACAGAGGGUGCGAGCGUUAAUCGGAUUUACUGGGCGUAAAGCGUGCGUAGGCGGCUAAUUGAGUCGGAUGUGAAAUCCCCGAGCUUAACUUGGGAAUUGCAUUCGAUACUGGUUAGCUAGAGUGUGGGAGAGGAUGGUAGAAUUCCAGGUGUAGCGGUGAAAUGCGUAGAGAUCUGGAGGAAUACCGAUGGCGAAGGCAGCCAUCUGGCCUAAUACUGACGCUGAGGUACGAAAGCAUGGGGAGCAAACAGGAUUAGAUACCCGAGUAGUCCCUGUCUCUUAUAC
rnacentral:rRNA from 1 species